rnacentral:rRNA from 1 species
GAUGAACGCUGGCGGCGUGCCUAAUACAUGCAAGUAGAACGCUGAAGCUUGGUGCUUGCACCGAGCGGAUGAGUUGCGAACGGGUGAGUAACGCGUAGGUAACCUGCCUGGUAGCGGGGGAUAACUAUUGGAAACGAUAGCUAAUACCGCAUAACAGUCGACAUUGCAUGAUGUUGAUUUGAAAGGGGCAAAUGCUCCACUACCAGAUGGACCUGCGUUGUAUUAGCUAGUUGGUGAGGUAACGGCUCACCAAGGCGACGAUACAUAGCCGACCUGAGAGGGUGAUCGGCCACACUGGGACUGAGACACGGCCCAGACUCCUACGGGAGGCAGCAGUAGGGAAUCUUCGGCAAUGGACGGAAGUCUGGCCGAGCAACGCCGCGUGAGUGAAGAAGGUUUUCGGAUCGUAAAGCUCUGUUGUAAGAGAAGAACGAGUGUGAGAGUGGAAAGUUCGCACUGUGACGGUAUCUUACCAGAAAGGGACGGCUAACUACGUGCCAGCAGCCGCGGUAAUACGUAGGUCCCGAGCGUUGUCCGGAUUUAUUGGGCGUAAAGCGAGCGCAGGCGGUUAGAUAAGUCUGAAGUUAAAGGCUGUGGCUUAACCAUAGUACGCUUUGGAAACUGUUUAACUUGAGUGCAAGAGGGGAGAGUGGAAUUCCAUGUGUAGCGGUGAAAUGCGUAGAUAUAUGGAGGAACACCGGUGGCGAAAGCGGCUCUCUGGCUUGUAACUGACGCUGAGGCUCGAAAGCGUGGGGAGCAAACAGG